CCCGAUAUUCUGAUGAUACAUCAAUCACGCAUAGUUCACUCUGAAACAUACAUGUUGAACUACAAUCUUGAAAUUAGUCUUUCGCUCCUAUCUGAAUCCUU
rnacentral:snoRNA from 1 species